AAUCAACGCUGGCGGCGUGCCUAACACAUGCAAGUCGAACGCGAAAGCCCCUUCGGGGUAAGUAGAGUGGCGUCCGGGUGAGUAACACGUGGGUAAUCUGCCUUCGGGUGGGGGAAGUAACCCACGGGAAACGUUAGGGCUAAUACCGCAUAAUGCAGCGGCACCUAAUGGUGAUUAGUUGUUAAAGCGGGGGAUCGCAAGACCUCGCGCCUGAAGAGGAGCCUGCGGCAGAUUAGCUAGNGGUUGAGGUAAUGGCUCACCAAGGCGAUCGAUCUGUAGCUGGUCUGAGAGGACGGGCCAGCCACACUGGCACUGACACAC
rnacentral:rRNA from 1 species